CUCUCGGUAGCCAAGUUGGUUUAAGGCGCCAGACUGUAAACAUCUGGAGAUCGGGCGUUCGACUCGCCCCCGAGAGA
rnacentral:tRNA from 1 species